AACGAACGCUGGCGGCAUGCCUAACACAUGCAAGUCGAACGAGACCUUCGGGUCUAGUGGCGCACGGGUGCGUAACGCGUAGGAACCUGCCCUUAGGUUCGGAAUAACUCCCCGAAAGGGGUGCUAAUACCGGAUAAUGUCUUCGGACCAAAGAUUUAUCGCCUUUGGAUGGGCCCGCGUUGGAUUAGCUAGUUGGUAGGGUAAAAGCCUACCAAGGCGACGAUCCAUAGCUGGUCUGAGAGGAUGAUCAGCCACACUGGGACUGAGACACGGCCCAGACUCCUACGGGAGGCAGCAGUGGGGAAUAUUGGACAAUGGGCGAAGGCCUGAUCCAGCAAUGCCGCGUGAGUGAUGAAGGCCUUAGGGUUGUAAAGCUCUUUUACCCGGGAUGAUAAUGACAGUACCGGGAGAAUAAGCUCCGGCUAACUCCGUG
rnacentral:rRNA from 1 species